AUUGAACGCUAGCGGGAUGCCUUACACAUGCAAGUCGAACGGCGUGGCGAACGGGUGAGUAAGGUAUCGGAAGGUGCCCAGUAGCGGGGGAUAACUACGCGAAAGCGAAGCUAAUUCCUCAUCCUUUUGGAGCGGCCGAUAUCGGAUUAGCUAGUUGGUGGGGUAACGGCUAACCAAGGCUACGAUCCGUAGCUGGUUUGAGAGGACGACCAGCCACACUGGGACUGAGACACGGCCCAGACUCCGACGGGAGGCAGCAGUGGGGAAUUUUGGACAAUGGGGGAAACCCUGAUCCAGCCAUCCCGCGUGGGCGAUGAAGGCCUUCGGGUUGUAAAGCACUUUUGGCAGGAAAGCGGUACCUGCAGAAUAAGCACCGGCUAACUACGUGCCAGCAGCCGCGGUAAUUC
rnacentral:rRNA from 1 species